AGGGGAGGGCAGAGAAUUGGAGCCAUCUUUGCUACCAAUCGAACUACCACAGACCCGGUCAUCUCUGAGUCCUGAGGCAGGCAAAUAAGAGGAACUCCCCAAAGGAAAUUGAAAAGGAAGAUUCCAUGGGAGGCAAAGGAGGAACACAGAAGAGGAAGGAAGCCAACAAAGGUCUUGAAAACCACAUUGCAGAGCUCAGGUGCUUUAUCCGGCCCAGGAGGAGCAAGCUGAGUGGGGAGAGGGAUUCGAAGAGCUCACGCGCCAGAUCCUGCGUUGCUGGCCGCGGAACUGCAAGACGGACGUUCACCAGGCUUCAGUUUUCAUCCUAAAUUAGUGAUGCGUCUCCAUUAAUGAGGGCAGACCGCACCAUGAUUGUGCAUCUCUAGUUCUUUUCGGGAGAAAAUAAAGUCAAUUAAAAUCAUUGCCUUUCCAAGAAGAAGCAAUUCACACAGUCUUUUAUUAGUAGCACAAUGGUGUUGUUUUCCUUUGUUACCAAGACAGCAAUUAACAGGUUUCUAAUGGCACAAAGGUGGGUGACAAGUAAAACACCCUAUUAGGAAGGUGACUGCUUUCAGACCUCUA